rnacentral:rRNA from 1 species
AUUGAACGCUGGCGGCGUGCUUAACACAUGCAAGUCGAUCGGUAACAGGUGUAGCAAUACAUGCUGACGAGAGGCGGACGGGUGAGGAACGCUUGGGAAUCUGCCUAUCAGCGGGGGACAACCCGGGGAAACCCGGGCUAAUACCGCAUACGCUCUACGGAGGAAAGCCGGGGACCGCCAGGCCUGGCACUGAUAGAUGAGCCCAAGUCGGAUUAGCUAGUUGGCGGGGUAACGGCCCACCAAGGCGACGAUCCGUAGCUGGUCUGAGAGGACGAUCAGCCACACCGGAACUGAGACACGGUCCGGACUCCUACGGGAGGCAGCAGUGGGGAAUAUUGGACAAUGGGCGAAAGCCUGAUCCAGCGGCGCCGCGUGGGUGAAGAAGGCCUUCGGGUUGUAAAGCUCUUUCGGCCGGGAAGAAAUCGUACGGGUUAAUACCCUGUGCGGAUGACGGUACCGGCAUAAGAAGCACCGGCUAACUACGUGCCAGCAGCCGCCGUAACAC